ensembl:lncRNA
AAUAAAAACCCUUCAUUAUAUAUAUUUGAUAUAAUAAAAAUUGUAGAUGGUUCAGAAUCAAUUUUUUUUAAAAAAAAAGAACAAGAAAAAAAUUUAUCUAUUGAAAUUAUUAGUAAGGAUCGUACUUUAAGAAUAACAUUUUUGGAUAUACAAAGAUGGAAAAUGUGGCUUUUUGGUUUAAUGCAUUAUAGAUAUAAAUUAGUUAACAAAAAUGCAGGAAAAACAAAAGUUAUACCAUUUAUAUAUGAAAAUAAUAAAUUAUAUAAUAAUUAUAUAAUAUCAGGUUUAAAAGAUAUUAAUUCAUUAACAUUAUCUCAACUAUAUAUUAUUUUAAGAAGUCUAAAUAUCUAUUUAAAUAUGAAAUUAUUAUAUCAUUAUUUUUCUAUUUAUAAACAUAAAGGAAUAAUAAAUUAUUCAGGUUUUACAAAAAUAUUAGAACAUAUUUUUUCAAAUAAUUAUAUAAAAACUUAUUUUAACAUAUAUAAAGAUCAAAAUAGUAAUUAUAUAGACAAAAAAAAAUUUAUUGAGUUUUUGAUUGAGAUACAAUGUGAGGGUAAAUAUGAAGAACAAAUAUUUAAAGAGCAGAGAAUAGGACAUUGUUGGGAUAUGUGUAAUCGUAUAACAUCAGGAAACAGUGUAAUAGAUAAAAGUAAUAAUUCAAAAACGGAAAAUAUUAAUAAGGAUAUCUUGCGAUGUGAUAAUAAAUUAAAUAAUGUCUUUGCAAAUGUAAUCGAUCCAAACGUUGAUAAUAACUCCAUUGCGAAUAUCAACACCAGUACCAAUACCAAUACCAACAUCAGUACCAAUGCCAAUACCAAUGCCAAUACCAAUACUAACAUCAGUACCAAUGCCAAUACCAACAUCAGUACCAAUGCCAAUAGCAACAUCAGUACCAAUGCCAAUAGCAACAUCAGUACCAAUGCCAAUACCAACAUCAGUACCAAUGCCAAUAAAAACCAAAACGAACAAAUUCAAACAAACGAAAACGUUUUAUCUAAUAAUAAAGAAUUAAUAAAUGAUAAUAGCACCAACGAUGAAUGGAAAAAACUUAUUAAGACAUUAGAUUAUGAAAAAAGUUAUAUACAACCAGAUGUGAAUAAUGUAUUUAACACUUUUAUUUUUGCAGAUAAUUACAUGUGUCAGGAUGAAGAUUUUAUAUUUAUUCUGGAUAUAUUAAAAAAGAAAUUAUGCACAAAAAAUGGUUUUAAUGGAUGUUACGAAAAUGGAAAGGUAGCCUCUAUAGACAAAUACAUAAACAACAAUAGCCAUAACAAUAGCCAUAACAAUAACUAUAACAAUAACCAUAACAAUAACCAUAACAAUAACCAUAACAAUAACCAUAACAAUAAUAUAAGCAAGGGUACAAUGACAAAUGGGGAUAUUGAAAAAUAUAAGAAUGUGAGCAGUUCUAGUCCAUCCUUUAAUCCUGAUCCCAAUCCAAAACCCGAUUCCAGACCAGAUCUUUCUAUUACCGAUUGCAAUGGUAAUGUAAUAAAAAAAAUGACUGAUUUAAAUAAAAGUAGUAUUACUAACAGCGAAGGAAAUGAUAAUUUGAUUUUUAUUCGAGCUAAAGUUAUAUAUAAAUUAUUAACUACAAUAAAAAAAUAUAAUAUGCCAUUUGCUAUGAUUAAUAGCAAUAAUUAUUAUAUAACUGAAAUGGGAUUAAUUUAUUUUUUAUUAUCAAAAGAAAAUAGUAUUAUGUGUCCAGAAUAUUCUAAAGUAUAUCAGAAUAUGAAUUUACCUUUAUGUAAUUAUUGGAUUAAUAGUAGUCAUAAUAGUUAUUUAGGAAGAAAACAAAUUUUCAGUAGUAGUAACAUUGAACAAUAUAUAUAUAUUAAUUGAUGGUUGUAGAUGUGUUGAAUUUGAUUGCUAUUAUUUUAAUAAAAAUAUCGUAGUAUAUCA